rnacentral:rRNA from 1 species
CCUACGGGGGACAGCAGUGGGGAAUUUUGCGCAAUGGGGGAAAGCCUGACGCAGCAACGCCGCGUGAGGGACGAAGGCCCUCGGGUCGUAAACUGCUUUCAGCAGGGCAGAACACGACGGUACCUGCAGAAGAAGCACCGGCUAACUCCGUGCCAGCAGCCGCGGUAAUACGGAGGGGGCGAGCGUUAUCCGGAAUCAUUGGGCGUAAAGCGGUCGGAGGCGGCCUGUUAAGGCAGAUCUUAAACCCGCGGGCUCAACCUUCGGACGGGGCUGGGAACUGGCAGGCUGGAGUGCGGUAGAGGAGAGGGGAAUUCCUGGUGUAGCGGUGAAAUGCGCAGAUAUCAGGAAGAACACCGAUGGCGAAGGCAGUUCUCUGGGCCGUAACUGACGCUGAGGCGCGAAAGCUGGGGGAGCGAAUAGGAUUAGAUACCCUGGUAGUC